ensembl:ncRNA K11C4.8 ncRNA
UGGAAGUUUCUUGGAGUCUAAAAAAUGAAAGCAAGGGUUUUGGUGCAAAAUUGGAACCAAUAGAAUUGGUAUGGUGGGAAAAAAAGAGAUUUCUUGAAUUGAAAAGCAGUGUGAAGCUGAAAGAGACAAAAAAUAACGAAAGAUAGCUACAUUAAAAAUUAAGGGGAUACAACA